AAAUUGAAGAGUUUGAUCAUGGCUCAGAUUGAACGCUGGCGGCAGGCCUAACACAUGCAAGUCGAACGGUAACAGGAAGCAGCUUGCUGCUUCGCUGACGAGUGGCGGACGGGUGAGUAAUGUCUGGGAAACUGCCUGAUGGAGGGGGAUAACUACUGGAAACGGUAGCUAAUACCGCAUAAUGUCGCAAGACCAAAGAGGGGGACCUUCGGGCCUCUUGCCAUCGGAUGUGCCCAGAUGGGAUUAGCUUGUUGGUGGGGUAACGGCUCACCAAGGCGACGAUCCCUAGCUGGUCUGAGAGGAUGACCAGCCACACUGGAACUGAGACACGGUCCAGACUCCUACGGGAGGCAGCAGUGGGGAAUAUUGCACAAUGGGCGCAAGCCUGAUGCAGCCAUGC
rnacentral:rRNA from 1 species